UACGUAGGGGGCAAGCGUUAUCCGGACUUACUGGGUGUAAAGGGAGCGUAGACGGCAGAGCAAGUCUGAAGUGAAAGCCCGCGGCCCAACUGCGGGACUGCUUUGGAAACUGCCCGGCUAGAGUGCUGGAGAGGUAAGCGGAAUUCCUAGUGUAGCGGUGAAAUGCGUAGAUAUUAGGAGGAACACCAGUGGCGAAGGCGGCUUACUGGACAGUAACUGACGUUGAGGCUCGAAAGCGUGGGGAGCAAACAGG
rnacentral:rRNA from 1 species